UACGUAGGGCGCAAGCGUUGUCCGGAAUUAUUGGGCGUAAAGAGCUCGUAGGCGGUUUGUCGCGUCUGCUGUGAAAACCUAAGGCUCAACCUUGGGCUUGCAGUGGGUACGGGCAGACUAGAGUGCGGUAGGGGUGACUGGAAUUCCUGGUGUAGCGGUGGAAUGCGCAGAUAUCAGGAGGAACACCGAUGGCGAAGGCGCCACUCUGGGCCGAAACUGACGCUGAGGAGCGAAAGCGUGGGUAGCAAACAGG
rnacentral:rRNA from 1 species